rnacentral:rRNA from 1 species
UACGUAGGGUGCGAGCGUUGUCCGGAAUUAUUGGGCGUAAAGGGCUCGUAGGCGGUUUGUCGCGUCGGGAGUGAAAACCAUGGGCUUAACUCAUGGCUUGCUUCCGAUACGGGCAGACUAGAGGUAUGCAGGGGAGAACGGAAUUCCUGGUGUAGCGGUGAAAUGCGCAGAUAUCAGGAGGAACACCGGUGGCGAAGGCGGGUCUCUGGGCCGUAACUGACGCUGAGGAGCGAAAGCGUGGGGAGCGAACAGG